AUGGGCGAAAUGUCUUUCGAUGUGCCUCCUCGCAUACAUUCCCAUGAAGAUGUCACUGAAGAUCUUGCCAACACCGUUGGAGCUUCACGUGAUGCGGUGCGCGAUGAGGAGAGGGAGGAAGAUUCAUCUUCGGAGGCGGAAGAAUCGUCUUCCGAAGAUGAGGACGAGGACGAAGAUGAGGACGAGGACGAGGAAUGA
rnacentral:rRNA from 1 species